GUGAUUUAGUUCAAAAUAAAAGACUAGUUUAUAGUAUGAAAAUAUAAAGUUAAGUGUCACUUUUAUUAAAGUAUAUUUAUAGUUUAGGAUUUAAGAGCAAGUUUAGUUAUACUAUAGUGUUUAGUUUUUAUUUAGAAUUAAAGGUUUUAGGGUUUGAGUUUAGGGUUAUAGAGGGUUUAUUUAGGUUUAAUAGUUUAAGCCUUAGAAUUAAAGAUACUGUUUUUUUUUAAUUUUAGAUGAAGUUUACAUGCUUACCAAACAAAGAGAUAAAGUUUUUGUGUAAAGAUUUUAAAUAUUUAUAUAAAUAACUAAUAAUUAUGUAUUGAGCAUUAUUUAUUUAGUUUAAAUAGUUAAAUUAUUUAAAGAUUAGGUUUUUGAUUUGGGGUAUAGAGAUUGUAAUUUAUGUUUAACAUUUGAGUUUGAAAAUAUUAGUUUUGGUGUUUGAAUUUAUGAUUUAGGGUAUUAUGUUUAGGUUUAAAGUGUAUGGUUUGGAAUAUAGUUUCAAGGUUAGAUUAAAGAUUUAAGAGUAAAACCUGAAAAACAUUAAUUUUUGAAUUUAAGUUUGAGAUUUAAAGUUAAAAUAAGAAUUUAAGAUUUUUAUUUAGAGUUUAGGGUUUUAAAAGUAUAUUUAGGGUUUAGUAUUUCAAAUUUUAGUGGCUAAUUCGUGAUAAAAUUGUGGCUUUUUUACACAGCCACGGAAAAUUUAGUGGCCAAACCGUAGCAAAAAAGAUAUUUUUUACAAAUUAG
rnacentral:lncRNA from 1 species